UUAAGUUCAGCGGGUAGUCCUACCUGAUUCGAGGUCAACCACAAAAAGUAGGGGGUUUUACGGCGUGGCCGCGCUGCUCUCCAGUGCGAGGUGUGCUACUACGCAUAGGAGGCUGCAGCGUGACCGCCACUGCAUUUGGGGGACGGCAUCGGCGCGAAGCCGGGCUGCCGAUCCCCAACACCAAGCCGGAGCUUGAGGGU
rnacentral:misc_RNA from 1 species